AGAGUUUGAUCCUGGCUCAGGAUGAACGGCUGGCGGCGUGCCUAAUACAUGCAAGUCGAACGGCAGUAGCAUAUACUGUAGUGGCGAACGGGUGAGUAACACGUUGGUGACCUGCCCCAAAGAUGGGAAUAUCACCUGGAAACGGGUGGCAAAACCGAAUAAGCUUGGCUGAGUUAGAGAAGGUCAAGUAAAAAGUGCAAACUACUUUGGGAGGGGCCUGCGGCCCAUCAGUUAGUUGGUGAGGGUAACGGCCCACCAAGACGAAGACGGGUAGGGGACCUGAGAGGGUGGUCCCCCACAUUGGAACUGAGACACGGUCCAAACUCCUACGGGAGGCAGCAGUGAGGAAUAUUGGUCAAUGGGCGGAAGCCUGAACCAGCCAUGCCGCGUGAAGGAAUGAGGCCCUAUGGGUCGUAAACUUCUUUUGACGGGGAGCAAUAAGGCGUACGUGUACGCCGAUGAGAGUACUCGUCGAAUAAGCAUCGGCUAACUCCGUGCC
rnacentral:rRNA from 1 species